CGUGGCGGCAGGACACCAUCUUGGAGAGGUCGCUGGGGCCGGAUGUGCUGCCGCCAUCUUGGGAAGGUGCAUCUCGGCUGUCGGCGGCGCGGCUCCAUCUUGGGGAAGUCGAGUCGCUCCGCCCGAGGAACUGUACAUAACAACCGUGUUUUCCACAUAUGGAUAGAAACAGAAAUAAUCUUUGCAGCUAUGGAUGCUUCUUAAUAUUAGUUGAAGGUAAAGAUGUGCAUAGGGCUUCUGGUCUAUAAAGAAGGGAGAAAAAGGCGAAACCACCUGAAAUGCACCUUAGACAACUCCCCUCAGCAGAAAUUGGCUUCCCCUUGAUUCUCAACCCCCUAUUUUAGAAGUGGCUGAAGAGCAACACCAAACGUUGAUCUAGGGACAGGGAAUAUUGCCACAAGAGCCCGUUGUUUAGCGGACAGACGUGGAUGCUCCUGCUGCCCCCAGACCCUGGUACUCUGCAGAGCCCAUCAGACCUGUCGGUUCGUUACCGGCGCAGGGAGCAGAAUGGGCCCUUUGGCAAGUCACUGAACCCCAAAUCUGUUUUUCCUUCUGAAACAGUAACACUGUGGUGAUAAGAAUUCUUCACAACACGGGAAGAGGAGGAGGAGGAGGAAGAGAGAGGACGAGAGAACUCAAAACCCUGAAGGAUGGUUCUCAAAAAAUUCUGGCGGCACCGCGGGGACUGGCGGUGGAGCGGCCGCGGAGCUACUUUCUGGAUUUAUCCUGAACAAGAAGUGGAAUUACUGAGUUAAUGCCCUGGAAGCGAGUAUCCUGUGUUGCAUACUACAGUCCCGAAGUCCUUCAUAUACGGCACCGACCUGGAGAGUUUGUACGACCUUUUUCCAGUCCGAAUAGGAACCAUCUCCCCUACUCCACUCGUUGACGUCUAAUCUCACAACAUCACCUUCGCAUUUCCAUACUGAGGUAGGACAACCUUGCUAAGGAAGAAGGGAAUUUGGACAGACUUAACAUACAGCCUGUGCAGCUUCCACUGGCUGGACACGAAAAUGAAGAGAGAGUUUAUUAAUUCCCAUCCUGACGCAGCCCCCCAGGAUUAAAAGACAUUUUAACCUACAAGAGAGACUGGGUCGAACACGCAUCCACCCCAAGCUGUCUACAUCAAGAAGCCCAUGUGAUUCCUCUGACUAUCAAGUCUCCAUGUUUCUGUGUUGGAUGUGAAGAGUAAAGAAAGAUUCUGGCAGAAAUUAGAAGGCAUCCAAGUCAGUGUAAGAGACACUACCAGACAUAAGGCUGAGGACUGGCAGAGACCAUACGUUAGGGGAGGAAAAAAAACACCCCACAACCUCAGUUAUUUCAACAAAUACCAAAAGUGGAUUGAGAGUGGAUGAAGAGGAGGAGGAGGCAAUAGUGAACACACAACACAGUUCAAGUUGGCAAGGAGCCCCUUCUUGAAGAAUGCCUGCAAAAGCAGCAAAUUCCUAUGAAAAAUCUGCUGGCUGACUUCAGGGUAUGUGGAGGGCCUGACUGCAGCAGCCUGGCCAGAGGUUCGGAGGCAGCUGGAAUCACCCACGGAUGUCCCAUCUCUCCCAGGGGCUACAGUAAGUCCAGUGACUACCAAAUGCAUUGACAGGUUUAUUUUAUUAACUGAGUAAAAGCUCAGAAAUACAGUGAAGACAAAAGAAGAGAACAAUCAUUCCUCUGAAUAUGCCCCCCAGCCCAAAUCUCUCCCACACCCUUCAGUGUGUUUCUAGAGGAAUCCAGAGGCCCCUCCAGCAUCCCCCGCGGCUCUGGGGAUGCAGCCCCUGCCAUGCACCUCGCGAGCGGCCUCCAGAAGCAGCGCGGGUUGUCUGGUGAACCCACAGCAGUGCGGCUCUCCAGCCUCGCUCGCUAAGCCCUGCUGCAUUCUGCAUCCCAACAAUGAACGUGCUGCUCUUGGAAUAUCCCUUUCCAUGCCUCUUGCUGGGCGUCUUUAAGCGGUAUCAGAUCGCUUCUGCAGCUCAGGCAGCCCUUUGCAAUCAGUCGCUGCUGAUCAUCUGCCCUUUCCCCCUUCCAAACCCCUAAAUAAAUGCAUCUGCUCCAGCCUAAUUCAUCUCAGCCUUCUCCCUUCUUGUAUGCAACUUCAGGCAAACAAACUUUCUAUAUGAAAAGAGAGCUUACCUGGACAAUGCUUUGAGUAUGAAGUAAUAAAAACUGAUAAAGCCAGACAUCCCAACUCUAGUACAGGGAUUUGAUUGCAAAUUUCCAUUGCAAAGGAGCAGAGGGAACUGGAAAUCUGACAAAUGCCUUCAAAUUAACCUGUGUUUUCACAAUGCACGCUGUGUUUAAAAUGAAUGGCAGACUUUAUCAUUUGGAGCUCCUUCAAGGACUCCGGCCUUCUCCGCUUUGUUCUAAUUCUUCGGAAAUAUUUCCAAGAAGCACAAAGCUACGUAAGUGGAUGAUAUUAUGGAGGGUUUUUCUAAGCAGGAUUUUUUCCCCCCUACAAUAAUUUUUAAAGCCUGAAUUUAAAAAGAUAGCCCGAAACUUCUUCCUUCCUGCACGGACGCAUCGGUCCCUCCCGUGCAGGGUCAGCCCUGGCCCCUUGGAGCCGUGCCGGGCACAGGGGCAGCGAGCAGCCCAGUGCCAGCCCGGCCCGGACGCCAUGCGCUCAGGGCUCCUGAAAUUCCCUGGUCCAGCUGCUUUCAGCACGGCCAGGCAGAGCCGGCCCGCUCCACCGCAGGACAGAGCUGCGCCGGGGCCACGGCAUGUUCCUGGGGCAGAACCCAGGGAACCAGCGCCGCUUGCCCCUGUUUUACAUGCCAAAGAUAACAACCAUCUUUUCUGAAAGUUCAUCCAGAAAGCCAUAUGUGCUGCCUCAGAAAAGCAUUUUGCUUCAAAGUUGUCCCUCUUAAUCUGUACACAUUUUUACAAAUAAUGACUUUCUUUUAAAGCUCUGGUAUUAGUUCCAUCUGUUUAAAAUAGCAUAUAAAUGAAGCUAUAUGAUUCUAUGUGCAAAUAUAUCAGAUAUGCUGGAAGACAAAAAAAUAGGAUUAAUCUAAUAAUUCAACUGUGUCUUUAACAAGUUUCCUAUGGGAAAAAUCAGUCUUAUUUUCCCCGCAGAUCUGAUACUGAGAGCUUCUUUCUACUAAGCACAUUAAAAGCUAUUUGAACCAAAAAUCCUAUCUAUGCAUGUGUAGAGAUACAUAUAUAGAAACAAGAAGCAUCCGUAGUUUUAUAGAAGAGGCUGUAUCAAGAUUUCCAAUUAAAGCAAGGGUAGUCCCUUCCUGUAUUUUAGCAACUGGAUUAUAUUUUGCCUAGAACAAAGAAACCUUAAGGGAAGUAAAUUUUCUGGAGGAGAACCGCACGCACGUAUGUGUUUGAAUGCUGUACCUAACAAUUCCUGUACAAAUUAUUCCUUAAUUCCUUAGAUUUAUUUUGGUAUUUGCACAGCGGUUUAUCUGGCCGGUCCUGCACUCAUCACUUGUUCGCUCCCAUCUUUUCACACCACAUCUACCCCUCGCCAGCUCUUUUUGUACCCCGGCAGAAACGGGAACUCCUCCGCUCCCCAGCCGGUUGUGUUCAGGACAAGGGGGAGCCCCUGGCACCUGCCCGGGCUGCGGCUCCUGCUCCCCCCAGCCGCGUCCUGCCCUGGCCAGACGGCAGGAGGGUGCCCUCGGACUUGACCCCACAGCAGCGCCUGCUCUGCUGGACCCGGCUCCCAGGAGGUGGGGGCCGCAGGGCGCCCCCCGCUUAACCCCUCUGCUUCUGGGCACCUCUGACCCAGCCCCGCUGCCCUCCUUCCUUUGGGGGCACGCGGGAUCACCCCGCGAGCGGGAGAGGACGAGGACGCAGGAGCAGCGAGAGGCUGUCGCAGGAGGGCACAGCGCAGCACGGCCAGAGCCACAGAAUCGCUGAAAAGGAGGACGUUUGGUUUGUGUUAACUACUCAGACAGAUGCACUUCGGCAUGUUUGCAUUUAUGGAAUCCAUAUGUUGUCAUGGGAAAUGAGAGGACAGCAACACCAAACUGGAAUUGGCGAUGCAAACGCAAAGAAAACGUACACGGCUACCAGGCUCUGCGUUUGCACAUGUUCUUUCGAAGGUGCCUGAUCCUGGGAUAUCGACAGUUAUUAGAUUUCCUUGCCACCUUCUCCACAUUUAAUUUUUCUUUGCUCUGCAAUAAGUGUGUAUAUAGGCAGCCCCCAUUCUCAGACCGGUCUACCGGAUCUACAGCCUCUGGUUAAACAUGCACUUCUAAGUUAUACCAAGUACGAAGAGACAAGGGUUACUUUAUUCUUGCCUCAACUUCGACAUCAAAACACGUUUGUUUCAUAUUCAGCAAGAACAACAGUUACGAAUUACAUGCACCUUUACAGAUAGCGCACCAAGCAGCCCUGAAAAUUCUUACUUGCCCCAGGGCUUGUAGGUUUUGUUUUUGUGGUUUUUUUUUUUUUUUCUUUUUUUUUUUUUAAAGGGGAAGUAAUGUUAACAAUUAUUCUUCCAUAAUUCUAGACAAGCAUAUUUUGAGCAGGGAUUGACAGUUUAAGGGCAGCUUUUAAAGUCAAACUGGUAACGUACUGGAGUCUAUCCAUUUAACAACCCGUAAGAACUCAUACACAGCAUGCGCAUUAUAACAGUACACAUCAGUGCUGCAUUUAGAAUAUUCAAAUAACUAUGGUACAUAUUAAACCUCAAUUCUUAAAACCCAUGAACAUCUUCCAAAUGCAAGAUACUUCCAGUAAUGUAUCAACUAGGACAGCCCUUCCAAUUUCCAAUAAUCUGUCCUCUUCUUUCAUCCCCCCAUCCCACUAAGGGGACUUGUCAAAAUUUCAAAUAACUACCCCACAUUAAGAAAUACGGAAAGCUUGAUACAUUUAAUUGAAAAUAUUUACUAACAAACAUGCAGUUUAUUACCUUUCAGUAUAAAAUACAUCUACAUUAAGGAUCUCCAAAAUGGCAAAACUGACCGCAACUGCAUUCCUUGUUCAAGGCUAUGAAACAAACCGGGAACUUAAUUACUUGAGUUACUAUUAAAAAUUAAAA